AGGAAAUCCAGGACACAAUGAGAAGACCAAA
rnacentral:piRNA from 1 species